UGGGACAGCUGCCACCACGGCGCAGUGGGGAAAGACCACUGUCUGAGGUCGACCUGCUCAAGGUGUGAGAUUGACAUGGCACACUGCUGCACGACAAGAGUUAUUCCCCCUUGACCAAGGAUUGCUGAUCAGCGAGGCAAUUGGUUAAGUGCAUACAUUGAUUGAUGAGGCAAGGCAGGGAUGCCAUGAGCAUGCAGUUGGAAACCCAAAGCUUCAUCAACCCUUCAAUUCCAAAGAGGAUAGGUUCGAUACAGUGUGAAACCUCCAAACUAUCUGACUGUGUGAGGCCAGAGACUUGCAACGAAAUGGAGUUAUGGGUGCUGAUUCCUGUGGUGACCCAAGACCCUGUCCUAGCCUCUGCCUGUGUGCAGAAUAAUUCAUUAUGCUGAGACUCCUCUCUCAGAUUACUGUCUGAAAUAGAUUUGAUGCCAGUCUAUCAGCUGCCUCUUGUUUAGUUUAAAAUUGCAUUCUCAGGAAAAGUGGUCUCUUUUUCUUAAGCUAGCACAGGGACUUAAUACUGUCAGUGUUGUAUGUUUACCUUAUCUUUAAGAGAGUUCCCAUUUAAGAAUCUGCGUGCUGUAUGUAUAAAAUGUUAUGACUCUACCUGGCAGUUAGUCUGCUGUGGUUCUGAAAACUGCACACGAAAUUACAUACACACGGAAAUUAGUUGGUUUGCUAUAAUAUCUGCCUCAUUACUUGAA